AUGUAUAAAAGGAGUUAGCGCAAAUAAACAAGGUGUCUCAUUCACUGAACCUGCACUCUGGUGGGCAGUUGAUUGAAUGCACCCUGAGACUCAGCACGUUGGUGUCUUGUUUUUUUCCUCUCUCUUUGGACAAAGAAAACUAACAUGCAAGGACGAUUGAAGGUUCCAUGAUCUAUUGAACAUUAACAUUAUUUGACGUCCUUAACAGAUGGUGACCCUGCGUCUUGAUUUGUCCGAUAGGAGAGGUUAAUUUUGGUCAUCAACUACUUGGCCUGGACUCACAAACAGAGCGCUCACAAACUAAGCUUUACAGGCAUCCAGUCGGACGGCGAUAAACCACCUGCAUCUGUUUGGCUUCGAGUGAUAAAGAGGAAGUGGUCUGAACCAAGGUGGACCGUUCACCGUGACGGCGAGGACUUCACACGCCUACCAACUUGAAGGAAAAGGGACUAUCUGGUUCCUCAGGUCACAAUGUCGUGUUGCCAAACCACUUUGAUUGUUUCAUUAGUGUUGCAUUUUUUUUUUUUUGCCUCAAGUUGCAUUCGGCAAACAGGGGGAAUUUAGUAGACCAACAAUUCAUAGAGCAGGAGAAAGGGUACAAAUUUUAGCUUUAGCCACAGGAUACACACAACAAAACCUGUGGAUAGCCUACUUACAAGAAACGGCCCGACUUGGCAAUAUUGGGGAUUGUAUAAUGUGUGCAGCCGCACGACCCACUGUAUGUUCAGCUACAGGACCAAUUAUGGAUAUUGAUUCACUAAAUUGCAUGAUUGAAAUAUACAAAAUAAACCAUAAUGUUAGCUCUUGAUGCGCCAAGUAUGAGAAUAUGUGGCCAGAAUUACCUAAAGGUACAGUACCACUCAUGGCCCAUUAUGCAGAAGGAAAUUACACUUGUUUAAAGCAUGACAGAAUUAACCAGAACAAAACUAAAUAUGUGGGGGUAUUUCCAUUUUGUCAUAAUAUAAUAGAUGUCACUACAUGGGGAAAUAUUACGAUAUUGAGCAAAUGGUCUUUAGGUGAUUUGGCAUAUAUGUGUGAAAUUAAUGUAGUACGAGCUGUAUUACCUGACAAAUGGAAAGGGACAUGUACGAUGAUUUCAUAUGUGGCGUCAACCACUGUAAUUUACGCCAAGGAUCAAAUAACGAGACCAAAAACAGAAACUAAUGUGAGGUCAAAGAGAUCAAUCAGCGAUAAUUGGUCAGAGGACAGAACCACAUACAUAGAUGGCAUUGGAGUGCCCAGAGGAGUUCCAAAUGAAUACAAACUGAUUGAUCAAAUUGCAGCAGGAUUUUAAAAUAUGCCCAUCAUCUCUGCAUUGUUCCCAGUAACUCCAAACAAGAAUGUGGAUAGGAUCAACUUUGUUUUUUACCAUUUGCAAAGAGCAGUAAACUUAACCAGUGAUGCCAUUGAAGGCUUAGCUGAACAAUUGGCCCCCACUUCCCUAAUGGCAAUUCAAAACCACAUGGCCUUUGACAUGAUCCGAAAAGAAUGGUUUAUGCAAUGUUUGGUCCAUAAUGUUGUACUUUUAUUCCCAACAACACAGCCCCGGAUGGAAAAGUAACGAGAGCCCUACAUGGGUUACAAACUUUGGCUGCUGAAAUGGCAGAUUCAACAGGCGUUUCCAACCCCCUGGAAGAUUGAAAAAAAAAAAAUUGAAACAUCUUAUGGUCACGGGAGUGGUGAAAAAGAAUAUGAACCAGCCGGAAUCACAGAUGUUGAUGACCUCCGAAGGAGCUCCUACUCCUGAAGUUCUGGACACACAAGACGACGUCGUGUCCAGAUGGAUGAAUUAUUGAUUAAGAAUAUACAGUGUCUUUUCUCUUAGCAUGUUACGGGACUUGUUUUUUCCCCUCCUCAAAUCAAUAUAUGGGGAGGUUUUUGGCCUGUCUCAAGAGUCGUACUGCUUUAUGAAGAAUGCUUAGCUCAUGACUACGUUGUUUAUAUAUCCUCUUAUAGUCUUCCACAUAGAGUAGUACUGCUUAGGGUAUGUUACAUAGUUCCACUAUGUAAACAGGGGAAUUGUUGGAUUGUUCUAUUUGUACUCAUGAAGCUAUGUUCCUUUCUUUAACAAUUAAGUUCAAUUUCCAAAACAUCCAAGGCCAGAGAGAGGGGUGCCCACAUCUUAGGAUGACUCCCUUUUCAUUCUUUAUAGCUCGCAAGGUAGAUUACUGAAGAAUGAUGGUUUUAGGGUGACUCCCCUUUUCUGAUAACACCCAAGGCCAGAGGUAUCUUCUGCUAAACAUAUCAAAACCUUCUGCUGAACAGUCAUAACGAAACCUUCUGACGUGUAUAAAAGGAGUUGGCGCAAAUAAACAAGGUGUGUCAUUCACUGAACCUGCACUCUGGUGGGCAGUUGAUUGAAUGCACCCUAAGACUCAGCACGUUGGUGUCUUGUUUUUUCCCUCUCUCUUUGGACAAAGAAAACGAACACGCAAGGACGAUUGAAGGAUCCAUGAUCUAUUGAACAUUGACAUUAUUUGACGUCCUUAACAAAACCCCUUUUUAUUAUUAAAUUUUCGAUGAAAUUCA